rnacentral:rRNA from 1 species
UACGUAGGGUGCAAGCGUUGUCCGGAAUUAUUGGGCGUAAAGAGCUCGUAGGCGGUCUGUCGCGUCUGCUGUGAAAACUCAGGGCUUAACCCUGAGCUUGCAGUGGGUACGGGCAGACUAGAGUGGCGGUAGGGGAGACUGGAAUUCCUGGGUGAUAGCGGUGAAAUGCGCAGAUAGUCAGGAGGGAACACCGGUGGGCGAAGGCGGGUCUCUGGGCCGUAACUGAACGC